AUAGAAAAGAGGAAACCAAUUGAUUCCCUUGAAUACAACCGUAAAGGCCGAGGAUUUCAAUCAACUAGAAAUCAGAAGGCUCUAAAAGCGUACUGUGCUAUAAAGGGAGAUCACGUUGGAAGAUUCACACUGAGAAGAUCCGGAGUUAAGUUUGUUUUAAUCUCCAAAAGGUACGGAUUUACAGGACGCCACAUCUGCUCAGUAGGAUUUGCACGUACCAGCUUAUUGGUGAGCCCUAUCUCAUUCGGGGUUUAGGCAUUGUCUUUCUUUAUUUAGUUUUGCAUCUAAAGGUGUGCUGGGGGCCUUGUCCCAGCAAGUAUGUUACGUGUUUCAGACUCAUGUUAGAAGUUUCAUAGACAAGACAAGUGUCAUGCUAGACUUCAGAGUUGGUUAGCCGGUUUGGCUCAUUUAUGAUAUU